rnacentral:rRNA from 1 species
GACGAACGCUGGCGGCGUGCUUAACACAUGCAAGUCGAACGGAAAGGCCCUGCUUUUGUGGGGUGCUCGAGUGGCGAACGGGUGAGUAACACGUGAGUAACCUGCCCUUGACUUUGGGAUAACUUCAGGAAACUGGGGCUAAUACCGGAUAGGAGCUCCUGCUGCAUGGUGGGGGUUGGAAAGUUUCGGCGGUUGGGGAUGGACUCGCGGCUUAUCAGCUCGUUGGUGGGGUAGUGGCUUACCAAGGCUUUGACGGGUAGCCGGCCUGAGAGGGUGACCGGCCACAUUGGGACUGAGAUACGGCCCAGACUCCUACGGGAGGCAGCAGUGGGGAAUAUUGCACAAUGGGCGGAAGCCUGAUGCAGCAACGCCGCGUGCGGGAUGACGGCCUUCGGGUUGUAAACCGCUUUCGCCUGUGACGAAGCGUGAGUGACGGUAAUGGGUAAAGAAGCACCGGCUAACUACGUGCCAGCAGCCGCGGUGAUACGUAGGGUGCGAGCGUUGUCCGGAUUUAUUGGGCGUAAAGGGCUCGUAGGUGGUUGAUCGCGUCGGAAGUGUAAUCUUGGGGCUUAACCCUGAGCGUGCUUUCGAUACGGGUUGACUUGAGGAAGGUAGGGGAGAAUGGAAUUCCUGGUGGAGCGGUGGAAUGCGCAGAUAUCAGGAGGAACACCAGUGGCGAAGGCGGUUCUCUGGGCCUUUCCUGACGCUGAGGAGCGAAAGCGUGGGGAGCGAACAGGCUUAGAUACCCUGGUAGUCCACGCUGUAAACGGUGGGUACUAGGUGUGGGGUCCAUUCCACGGGUUCCGUGCCGUAGCUAACGCUUUAAGUACCCCGCCUGGGGAGUACGGCCGCAAGGCUAAAACUCAAAGGAAUUGACGGGGCCCCGCACAAGCGGCGGAGCAUGCGGAUUAAUUCGAUGCAACGCGUAGAACCUUACCUGGGUUUGACAUGGAUCGGGAGUGCUCAGAGAUGGGUGUGCCUCUUUUGGGGUCGGUUCACAGGUGGUGCAUGGCUGUCGUCAGCUCGUGUCGUGAGAUGUUGGGUUAAGUCCCGCAACGAGCGCAACCCUUGUUCACUGUUGCCAGCACGUUAUGGUGGGGACUCAGUGGAGACCGCCGGGGUCAACUCGGAGGAAGGUGGGGAUGACGUCAAGUCAUCAUGCCCCUUAUGUCCAGGGCUUCACGCAUGCUACAAUGGCUGGUACAGAGAGUGGCGAGCCUGUGAGGGUGAGCGAAUCUCGGAAAGCCGGUCUCAGUUCGGAUUGGGGUCUGCAACUCGACCUCAUGAAGUCGGAGUCGCUAGUAAUCGCAAAUCAGCAACGCUGCGGUGAAUACGUUCCCGGGGC